GCAGCCGUUAAGUUAGCUUGUAAGCUAAAUCACUCUAGUAACUGUUUAAAGUUAGUUAACGUUACUACUUCCAUGUUUCCACAAAUUGGAAAUAAAUCAGCUGCUUCUGGAUUUACUUUAUCAGGUGCAGAAUGCUGUGAUCCUCACCUCCGUGAAACAUGGCUCGUUUGCACAGUUCAGCCCAGUCGCCCCCUGCUGACAGAAGGGCAUCGUAGGCUAUCAUGGGGGCAUCGUGACCUCUCCGACCUGCACGGCCUUCUGAACUCCAGCGCUUAUACAGCUGUGGAGAAAGUAACAGCAGCACACUGUUCCUGUUAGGAGUUCUGUUGAUGUAAAAACCUUAAGAAAUUUCAGUUAACCUGGAUCAAUGAACUAAUGUCUGCACACUGACACAAACACAGUCUAACCUGCCAUGUGUCGUAUG